rnacentral:lncRNA from 1 species
AAUGAUAUCACUCUUUUUAUAGGCACAUAAUUUAUCCAAAGAGCACUGCAGAGUUAACAGAUCUUGUAUUUUAAGUGCUUAAUUAGUAACUAAAGAAUAAAGUCAGAAAAAUUCAGUUCAUUAUUUGUCAUGGAUACAGAAUAUGUUCCACUUUACCGUGUACAUUUAUAUUAAGACUUUGCACUUUCGCAGUUCAUAGGUCAAGAUUAAUCAGUUGUGACCUUGGAACACAGCUCUUCUCUUCAUCAGAGCCUUUGUCCCUGAAGAGCUUAAUACACUCCUGUAUGAGUUUACAUCAUGUAUGGACUUUGAUGCUGGAAAGCUCCUGGAAACAGAAGCUCAUGGUUAAACUGGUGAGUCUGCAAAUGCACGAAACCUCCCUCUGGAAAUUGUGCAGAGGGUUUAUACUUUGCUAAGCAAGCUCAUGAAAGAGCUUUGAGUUAUUAAGGUGAAAAGAGAUGCACUGAAGGCAUUGGGUUGUAGCAGUGUGUGGGUCCAUCUACUGGUUGUACUAAAAAAUUGUUAGUUGUCUC